AGGGUUGUGGCUUAGUGGUAGAGCACUCGCCUGGCAUGUGUGAGGCCCUGGGUUCGAUCCUCAGCACCACAU
rnacentral:tRNA from 1 species